AGAGUUGAUCCUGGCUCAGAACGAACGCUGGCGGCGUGGAUUAGGCAUGCAAGUCGAACGAGAAUCUGAGAGUCCAAGUUUUCGGACAAGGACUUUUGGAGGAAAGUGGCGGAAGGGUGAGUACAACAUGGAUAAUCUACCUUCAAGUUGGGUAUAGCUUUCCGAAAGGAGAGAUAAUCCCGGAUGUGGUGAUCCGGCGCAUGCCGGAGACUCCAAAGGUGGGGACCGCAAGGCCUGCCGCUUGAAGAUGAGUCCGUGCACUAUCAGCUAGUUGGUGAGGUAAUGGCUCACCAAGGCUAUGACGGUUAGCUGGUCUGAGAGGAUGGUCAGCCACACUGGGACUGAGAUACUGCCCAGACUCCUACGGGAGGCUGCAGUCGAGAAUCAUUCGCAAUGGGCGAAAGCCUGACGGUGCGACGUCGCGUGGAGGAUGACGGUCUUCGGAUUGUAAACUCCUGUCAUGUGGGAUAAAUAGCCCGGGUGUGAAUAGCACUUGGGACUGAUAGUACCACAGGAGGAAGAGACGGCUAACUCUGUGCCAGCAGCCGCGGUAAUUCAGAGGUCUCGAGCGUUGUUCGGAUUUACUGGGCGUAAAGGGAGCGUAGGCGGCCGGGUGUGUCGAAUGUGAAAGCCCACAACUCAACUGUGGAAUGGCAUUCGAAACUACCUGGCUAGAGUACUGGAGAGGAGAGCGGAAUUCUUGGUGUAGCGGUGAAAUGCGUAGAUAUCAAGAGGAACACCGGUGGCGAAGGCGGCUCUCUGGACAGAUACUGACGCUGAGGCUCUAAAGUUAGGGGAGCAAACAGGAUUAGAUACCCUGGUAGUCCUAACUGUAAACGGUGUACACUUGGUGUGCGAGGAAUUGUCCCUUUGCGCGCCGUAGCUAACGCGUUAAGUGUACCGCCUGGGGAGUACGGUCGCAAGAUUAAAACUCAAAGGAAUUGACG
rnacentral:rRNA from 1 species